rnacentral:rRNA from 1 species
UGCGAAGGGGGCUAGCGUUGUUCGGAAUCACUGGGCGUAAAGCGCACGUAGGCGGCUUUCUAAGUCAGGGGUGAAAUCCUGGAGCUCAACUCCAGAACUGCCUUUGAUACUGGAGAGCUUGAGUCCGGGAGAGGUGAGUGGAACUCCGAGUGUAGAGGUGAAAUUCGUAGAUAUUCGGAAGAACACCAGUGGCGAAGGCGGCUCACUGGCCCGGUACUGACGCUGAUGUGCGAAAGCGUGGGGAGCAAACAGG